AAUUCUCAACUACAUGGAUUCGUGUAGCUUGGAUUUGGGAGGGUUCAUUUCUGCUGGCUUGUGAAUCAAGUCGGCUCUCCUGAAAUACAUUAGCAGGGCAUAGCUUUGUAGAACGGGUCUAUAGGUGUGAUAAAUUUAUCUACGCCUUGGAUGUCUGCAUGACAAUGGUUUAUACUGCUUUUAAUGUCAUCUCUCGCUUGAGAGACAUUUAUUUGACAAU
rnacentral:misc_RNA from 1 species